CCUACGGAGUGCAGCAGUGAGGAAUAUUGGUCAAUGGACGCAAGUCUGAACCAGCCAUGCCGCGUGCAGGAAGACGGCUCUAUGAGUUGUAAACUGCUUUUGUACGAGGGUAAAUCCCGAUACGUGUAUCGUGUUGAAAGUAUCGUACGAAUAAGGAUCGGCUAACUCCGUGCCAGCAGCCGCGGUAAUACGGAGGAUUCAAGCGUUAUCCGGAUUUAUUGGGUUUAAAUGGUGCGUAGGCGGUUCGAUAAGUUAGAGGUGAAAUCCCGGGGCUCAACUCCGGCACUGCCUCUGAUACUGUCGGGCUAGAGUUUAGUUGCGGUAGGCGGAAUGUAUGGUGUAGCGGUGAAAUGCAUAGAGAUCAUACAGAACACCGAUUGCGAAGGCAGCUUACCAAACUACGACUGACGUUGAGGCACGAAAGCGUGGGGAGCAAACAGGAUUAGAUACCCCAGUAGUC
rnacentral:rRNA from 1 species